CCUACGGGGGGCAGCAGUGGGGAAUAUUGGGCAAUGGGGGCAACCCUGAUCCAGCCAUGCCGCGUGUGUGAAGAAGGCCCUCGGGUUGUAAAGCACUUUCAGUGAGGAAGAACGCCUGGUGGUUAAUACCCAUCAGGAAAGACAUCACUCACAGAAGAAGCACCGGCUAACUCCGUGCCAGCAGCCGCGGUAAUACGGAGGGUGCGAGCGUUAAUCGGAAUUACUGGGCGUAAAGCGCGCGUAGGUGGCUUGAUAAGCCGGUUGUGAAAGCCCCGGGCUCAACCUGGGAACGGCAUCCGGAACUGUCAAGCUAGAGUGCAGGAGAGGAAGGUAGAAUUCCCGGUGUAGCGGUGAAAUGCGUAGAGAUCGGGAGGAAUACCAGUGGCGAAGGCAGCCUUCUGGACUGACACUGACACUGAGGUGCGAAAGCGUGGGUAGCAAACAGGAUUAGAUACCCUUGUAGUC
rnacentral:rRNA from 1 species